rnacentral:rRNA from 1 species
CCGGCGACCGGCGCACGGGUGAGUAACACGUAUGCAACCUGGCCGUGACAGAUGGAUAACCGGGAGAAAUCCCGCCUAAUACAACAUAAUGCCGGGAGGGGACAUCCCCUGCCGGUCAAAGGGGGCGACCCCGGUCAUGGAUGGGCAUGCGGCGCAUUAGGUAGUUGGUGGGGCAACGGCCCACCAAGCCGACGAUGCGUAGGGGUUCUGAGAGGAAGGUCCCCCACAUUGGAACUGAGACACGGUCCAAACUCCUACGGAAGGCAGCA